CGCCAGGGCGCUACUGCGGACCAGACCAAGAGGAAGGCUGCGCGUGAGCCGCCCGCCCGCGGGCCCUCCCAGGCCCCCGGGCCUGGCGUCCCCGAUCCCGGGCUGCGGCGUCCUGGGGGGCGGGUCCUGGCGGACUCACCCCCGUCUGGAUCCCUCGUGAACGGGCCUGCGCCGUCAGGCCUCCUCCUGGAGGCCGGCCGCCAUGCGCGCGAAGCUGCUGCCGCUGGCCGGCCUCUACCUGGUGCAGGGCCUCCCCUAUGGGCUGCAGUCCGGCCUGCUGCCCCUCCUGCUGCGGGCCCGUGGCCUCUCCUUGACGCGCGUGGGCAUGGCCAAAGGACUGUACACACCGUGGCUGUUCAAACUGGCGUGGGCCCCGCUGGUGGACAGGCGAGGCUCCCCGCGAGCCUGGCUUGCCCUCAGCACGGGGGCCCUGGGCCUGGUGUGUGGGCUGUUGGCUGCAGUGCCUCCCACUCAAACUGGCCAGGUGGGCCUCCCCACCACUGUGAUGGGAUUGCUGCUGCUGCUGAACCUAGGUGCAGCUGUUCAGGAUGUGGCCCUCGACACUGUGGCCGUACUGCUUCUGGAGCCAAGGGAGCUGGGACCCGGCAAUACUGUGCAGGUGGUGGCUUACAAGCUGGGGGCAGCACUGGCUGGGGGAGGGCUACUGAUCCUCUUGCCCAACCUCUCCUGGCCUCUGCUCUUCCUGCUGUUGGCUGCCACCUACUGGCUGGCUGCUGCGCUGGCCUGGGCUGCACCAGCCUUGCGACAGCUACCCUGGCCUCUGCCCUCGGAGCACACCCACCACCUGCAGGAUUUGAUGGCUGUGCCUGGGACCUUGUGGACAGCAGGCUUUGUACUCACCUACAAGCUGGGUGAACAGGGUGCUGCCAGCCUGUUUCCACUUCUCCUGCUGGACCGAGGUGCCUCUGCUCCAGAACUGGGGCUGUGGAAUGGCUUUGGUGCUGUGGCUUGCUCCAUUGCUGGCUCCUCCUUGUGUGGGACCCUACUGGCCCGGCACUGGCAGCCACUUUCCCUGUUGAAGUCAGUGCUGUGGUUACGGCUUGGGGGCCUGGCCUGCCAGACUGCCCUGCUCUUUCAUCUGGACACUGGAACAGCCCUGAGAGGGAUGGCCUUGCUGAGCCUGUGUCUGCAGCACUUCCUGGGGGGCCUGGUCACCACAGCCACCUUCACUGUGAUGAUGCGCUGCAGCCAGCUGGCACCCAGGACGCUGCAGGCCACACAUUACAGCCUCCUUGCCACCCUGGAGCUUCUGGGCAAGCUGCUGUUGGGGGCCUUGGCAGGAGUCCUGGCGGAUGGCCUCGGCCCACAGCCCUGCUUCACCAUCUUCCUCACACUCUCAGUCCUACCACUUCUGGACCUGGGCCUGGCACCCAGCACCCUGGCCUGCGUUAGACCGCAGGACUGUCAAUAAAUUCCAGUGCGCAUGGCUUGGAUGUCUGGAGCUUGACCAGAUACUGCUGACUUUGCUUUAUUAUUAGCUGGCUUCCCCUAGGGUGGAACCCCACUGCCUAGGCACGGGGACAGGAGCUGACGGGUGUCACGGCGGAUCUGGUCUUCCCAGUCCUGGAGCUGUGGGUGGACAGUACACCAUUUCCUCGAGUCCCCAGGACACUGCCUCCACAGCCAAGCUUGUAGCAGUCUGAAGCCUCAAGCUAGGCCGAUGGAGAGCCCGCUUCACAGAGGCCAGCUCCCAGCCCAUUGAGUCCACAAGCUCCACCACAUCGAAGUCCAGGGAGCUACUGUCCUCACUCGUGUCUUCAGGUGGCCACCUGGCCCAGCACGCAGCUACAAGGGGACACCUGCCCAGAGGAAAGUGGUAUGUGGUUAGCUGUCCUGGUUCUUUGUUCUUAACAUCAAGGGGAUGGGGCGUGCUCACUUGUGGGCCAGGGCCUGAAGCUGGGUGCGGCCCCCAGGGCAAUGCAGAUGGCAACGGGCGUAGACAGCUGGCAGCAGUUCCAGCCAGUGCCGUGGGUGCAGCUCCAGGUAACACAGCAGAGUCUCAAUGGCUGUGGGCAAAGCAGGGCUCAGUGCCGGUGGGGGCAGCCUUUCCACGCACCCCACAUCUUUCCUGGCUCCUCACCCUCCUCUGGCAUGUCCAAGACCUCUACUAUUGGCUGCAUGGGGAGUGCCCGCUCAUGGCCUGGGCAUGCUGGUCCUGGCACAGGAGCUGCUUGUUGGCCACUGGGCUUGGCCUCCCGAAGUGAGGACUCAGCGGUAGGCUUCACGCCGAUACUGCCCUCGCCCUGCUCUGGGGGCAGCCAUGUGCAGGUGCAGGGUGGGAA